CGGUAGAACUAAUACUGAAAAAUUUUGGAGGCUACCUAUGACCAAUUUCAGUAUUAUUCAGGAUCAAAGUCAUUGUUUUACUUGUCUGCAUUAACACUAAUUGAAAAGAAAGUAAACAUAAAUGGAAUUAGGUAGAGAAAAAUACAAACUCAUUCAUAAUAUGUCCAUAAAAUAGUAAACAUUAUAUCUGUAUCAGCUGAAGUUUUAAAAAUUUAGAACAAUACCCUAAGUAGCCAUAGAAAAGUGCUCAAGAAUAAAUUAAACUUUAAAUUUUAUAAGACAGAGUUAUAAGAGCUAAUACUGGCUACCAGUCAUAUGUAUAAAUCUUCCCAAAAAUCUAAAAAUAGGGAUGUGUUAAACAGAAUACACAAAGACAUAGACAAUGGCUCAUCAAGCUUUCCCAGCUAGGAACAUGUGGCUUUCCCAUACAUCAUUCAAUAAAAAACAGAUGGGGAAAACUGGCUGCCAGAAAGAAAGAAAAGAUAUACAGCAUGUUAUAAUUAUGAGCUUCAAAUAAACAAAGAGAAGGAGAAGAAUAUUUUAAAACAAAAAGCAAAGCUCUUUCCAUAAAAGCUCUCUCUCCUAACUAGGGCAAACUAAGGAUAAAAUGGCAUCCUCUCAGAAACAUUAAGUACGCCUGGGAUGAACAUUUUUAAACUAUCUAGAUACCUCCGCUUCUUUGGUUAUAACAUUCCAAAUGCUUUGCCACUUCUGGUACUUGUGUUUCUGAGGUCCCAUCCAGGCUCUGGGGAUGGGACUGCAUGAUUCAUGUUGGUUCAGCCCCCUUUAGCCUCAUGAUCAAAUCAGGCCACAUCUGGGAUGGGCAUGUUUCUCAACUGGUUCAAUUUGGAAUAAAUCCUAGGGUUUGUGCAGAAACUCUGAGGGAGCUAUGUUCAUUUUCACCGGAGUUGAACAUAGGAGGCUGUAGGUCUAGAGCUACUGACAGCAUCCUAACAUCACAUGGAAGUAGAAUGAAACCACUACGCAGGAGAGCAGGUUGAUGAGACAGACAGAUGCACUUUGGAGGAAUUCCCCUGGUGACGCAGCGGAGACGAAUCCGACUAGGAACCAUGACUGCGGGUUCAAUCCCUGGCCUCGCUCAGUGGGUUAAGGAUCUGGCGUUGCCGUGAGCUGUGGGAUUGAACUGGCAACCUCAUGGUUCCUAGUCAGAUUCAUUUUUGCUGCACCACAAUGGGAACUCCAAGCAAUGCAAACAUUUUUAGAACUCAAAUAUGAGGUCACAGAAAACUGUAAGGCUUGUAACUGGCCACUUGGGUAUUUACCCUCAGAGCAGAAAAGGUCCUUUUGCCAUAAGGAAACAGAUAAAACAUAGCAGUACUUUGAAACUUAAAUGAAAGGACAAAAUUUAUAAAUAAAUGAGGUUCCAGGAGUAAAACCUACAUUUAGACAUGAAAAGACAUGAAAAGUCCAAAGAAGCGACUAUAAUGACUAAACAAGCCCAGGAUAUCUUGAACAAAAAAUAGAAACAUAAGUACAAAAUAUUCCAGACUAGAAUUUCUAUUGCCACUUACAUACUAUUGAUCUAGAUGGCCCAGAAAUUAAAGUCACAAUAAUUGUCCAGAGGGACUUCCAAAAUAUUUUGGCAGUACAGUUCAAGCAAAUGUUUGUUUUAAAGUUAAUACAGAAAAAAAUUAUUAUUUAUGAUAGAUUGUUCUAUUUCAUUCACUAUUUUCGGCAGAAGUCUAAUCUUGAGGAUGAAGCAAGGCCAAUAAGCCAUAGAGAAAGUAGAAGACUGGAAAACGCCCCUCCUAAAAAUAUCCCACCUUCUAAUCCCCAGAACUUGUGAAUAUGUCACCUUACAAUGGAAAAGGGACUUUGUAGAUAAGUUUGAGUUAAGCAUCUUGAGAUGGAGAGAUAUCCUGAAUGGUCCGGGUGGGCCCAGUGUAAUCACAGGGUCUUUUUAAGAGAUAGAAGGAUCAGUGUCAGAGAGGGAGAUGAUAUGGGGCCACCAAAGCCAAAGAAUGCAAGGGGGCUACCGGAGCUUAAAGAAGCAAAGCAACAGAGUGGCCCUUAGAGCCCUCCACAAGGAACACAGACCUACCAACCAAUUUCAGACUCUGGACCCCAGACCUAUAAGAUUAUAAAUUUAUAUUAUUUGAAGUCACUAAAUUUUUAGUAAUUUGUUACAGUGAAAAUAGGAAACUAAUAUGGGAGCUGUAUUUUCUUAUAAAAACACUUUAAGAAACAUAAAUAUAUAUAUAUUAAAAUAACAAAGCAAAAGAUUCUCCCUUGUGUAGGAUUCCCAGAAGCUAAAUCUCAAUUGUCUAGCAUCUGUUCUCUAUCAUCUAGUUCACUUUCUACUAGGCUACUAGUCAACAUUCACAAAUCUAUUUGUUUCUACAUGCCUAGAAGACUUCAAGUUGGAAGAUAAAACUUUUAAACAUAAUUUUACAAUAGCAUCUAAAAAAUCACCCAGCAAUAAAUCCAGUAAAAUAUGCACAAGACUCUGCACAUGAAACCUUAAAACAAUAUUGAAAGAAAUUAAAUACCUAUAUAAAUAUUUAAAUCAUAACUGUAGAUUAGAUUACUAAUAUUAUAAUGAUAUCAUUUAUAUCCAAAUUGAUCCAAUGCAAUCCACAUAAAAGUAUCAAGGAAAUUUACAAGAUAAUUUUAAAAUCUAUAUGCAAAGGGACAAGAAUAGCUAAAACAAUCCUAAAGUAAAAGAAAAGGGUAGGAGGACAAUACUGAAAAUCAGGAAUUACAAGUGGAACAGUGAAAUAAAUAGAAGCCUUCACACAGAUUCAUAUAUAAAUGGACCUUUGAUUUAUAAUAAUGGUAACUUUGUAGAAAUUAUCUUUAAUAAAAGCAAUAGAACAGCUGGUUAUCCAUAUGGAAAAAAAUUAACUCAACCCUUGCCUUAUGCCAAACACAUAAAUCAAAAGAAAAUAGGUUUCUAUGUAAGUUAAAAACAAUACAGCUUUAGAAAAUAAUUUAGGAUAAUAUUUUCAUGAUCUUGUACUGGGAAAACACUUCAUUCAUAAAAAAUCAUUUAGGGAGUUCCCUGGUAGCCUAUUGAUUAAGGAUUCAAAGUUGUACUGCUGUGGCUUGGGUUUGAUCCCUG
rnacentral:lncRNA from 1 species